rnacentral:rRNA from 1 species
UACAGAGGGGGCAAGCGUUGUUCGGAAUUACUGGGCGUAAAGGGCGCGUAGGCGGCCUGCUAAGUCACACGUGAAAUCCCUCGGCUCAACCGGGGAACUGCGUGUGAUACUGGCGGGCUUGAAUUCGGGAGAGGGAUGUGGAAUUCCAGGUGUAGCGGUGAAAUGCGUAGAUAUCUGGAGGAACACCGGUGGCGAAGGCGGCAUCCUGGACCGAGAUUGACGCUGAGGCGCGAAAGCUAGGGUAGCAAACGGG